AGCGAACGCUGGCGGCAGGCCUAACACAUGCAAGUCGAACGAACUCUUCGGAGUUAGUGGCGGACGGGUGAGUAACACGUGGGAACGUGCCUUUAGGUUCGGAAUAACUCAGGGAAACUUGUGCUAAUACAGAAUGUGCCCUUCGGGGGAAAGAUUUAUCGCCUUUAGAGCGGCCCGCGUCUGAUUAGCUAGUUGGUGAGGUAAAGGCUCACCAAGGCGACGAUCAGUAGCUGGUCUGAGAGGAUGAUCAGCCACAUUGGGACUGAGACACGGCCCAAACUCCUACGGGAGGCAGCAGUGGGGAAUCUUGCGCAAUGGGCGAAAGCCUGACGCAGCCAUGCCGCGUGAAUGAUGAAGGUCUUAGGAUUGUAAAAUUCUUUCAUCGGGGACGAUAAUGACGGUACCCGGAGAAGAAGCCCCGGCUAACUUCGUG
rnacentral:rRNA from 1 species